rnacentral:rRNA from 1 species
GGCGGCGUGCCUAAUACAUGCAAGUCGAGCGAGCGGAACUAACAGAUUUACUUCGGUAAUGACGUUAGGAAAGCGAGCGGCGGAUGGGUGAGUAACACGUGGGGAACCUGCCCCAUAGUCUGGGGAUACCACUUGGAAACAGGUGCUAAUACCGGAUAAGAAAGCAGAUCGCAUGAUCAGCUUUUAAAAAAAGGCGGCGUAAGCUGUCGCUAUGGGGAUGGCCCGCGGUGCAUUAGCUAGUUGGGUAAAGGGUAAAGGGCUUACCAAGGCGAUGAUGCAUAGCCGAGUUGAGAGACUGAUCGGCCACAUUGGGACUGAGACACGGCCCAAACUCCUACGGGAGGCAGCAGUAGGGGAAUCUUCCACAAUGGACGCAAGUCUGAUGGAGCAAACGCCGCGUGAGUGAAGAAGGGUUUCGGCCCGUAAAGCUCUGUUGUUGGUGAAGAAGGACAGGGGGUAGUAACUGACCUUUGUUUGACGGUAAUCAAUUAGAAAGUCACGGGCUAACUACGUGCCAGCAGCCGCGGUAAAU